UAGUAUUUGAUAGGGAGUUAAGUUCUUUGCUAUUUGAAUGGGAAGUCCGGUGAGAAUCCGGCACAGCCCCGCUACUGUAAGGGGAUACGAAAGCCAGAUUCUUGAGGCAGCAGGCUUAAAAAGCCAAGGGAUGACGAUGCCUAACCGCAUUGUAAACCUUCUGCCUCAAGCUUAGCCACUCUAAAGAAAGAGGAAGGCCUGGCCGGUAGGUCAAGCCCCAAGUCAGGAGACCUUAAAGUCCUUCGCGGGAAGG
rfam:Candidate division Zixibacteria bacterium RBG_16_50_21 RBG_16_scaffold_2980, whole genome shotgun sequence.